rnacentral:rRNA from 1 species
AGAGUUUGAUCCUGGCUCAGGACGAACGCUGGCGGCGUGCCUAAUACAUGCAAGUCGAGCGAAUGACUAGAGAAGCUUGCUUCUCUAUGAUUUAGCGGCGGACGGGUGAGUAACACGUGGGUAACCUACCCUAUAGAUUGGGAUAACUUCGGGAAACCGGAGCUAAUACCGGAUAAUACUUCGAACCACAUGGUUUGAAGUUGAAAGAUGGUUUCGGCUAUCACUAUAGGAUGGACCCGCGGCGCAUUAGCUAGUUGGUGAGGUAAAGGCUCACCAAGGCAACGAUGCGUAGCCGACCUGAGAGGGUGAUCGGCCACACUGGGACUGAGACACGGCCCAAACUCCUACGGGAGGCUGCAGUAGGGAAUCUUCCACAAUGGACGCAAGUCUGAUGGAGCAACGCCGCGUGAGUGAAGAAGGCUUUCGGGUCGUAAAACUCUGUUGUUAGAGAAGAACAAGGAUUUGCGAACAGUUAGAAGGAUUGACGGUACCGGAAUAGAAAGCCACGGCUAACUACGUGCCAGCAGCCGCGGUAAUACGUAGGUGGCAAGCGUUGUCCGGAUUUACUGGGCGUAAAGGGAGCGUAGGCGGAUUUUUAAGUGGGAUGUGAAAUACCCGGGCUCAACCUGGGUGCUGCAUUCCAAACUGGAUAUCUAGAGUGCAGGAGAGGAAAGUGGAAUUCCUGGUGUAACGGUGGAAUGUGUAGAUAUCGGGAAGAACACCAAUGGCGAAGGCAGGUCUCUGGGCCGUUACUGACGCUGAGGAGCGAAAGCGUGGGGAGCGAACAGGAUUAGAUACCCUGGUAGUCCACGCCGUAAACGAUGUCGAUUUGGAGGUUGUGCCCUUGAGGCGUGGCUUCCGGAGCUAACGCGUUAAAUCGACCGCCUGGGGAGUACGGCCGCAAGGUUAAAACUCAAAGGAAUUGACGGGGGCCCGCACAAGCGGUGGAGCAUGUGGUUUAAUUCGAUGCAACGCGAAGAACCUUACCUGGUCUUGACAUCCACGGAAGUUUUCAGAGAUGAGAAUGUGCCUUCGGGAACCGUGAGACAGGUGCUGCAUGGCUGUCGUCAGCUCGUGUCGGGAGAUGUUGGGUUAAGUCCCGCAACGAGCGCAACCCUUGUCUUUAGUUGCCAUCAUUAAGUUGGGCACUCUAGAGAGACUGCCAGGGAUAACCUGGAGGAAGGUGGGGAUGACGUCAAAUCAUCAUGCCCCUUAUGCCUAGGGCUACACACGUGCUACAAUGGGUGGUACAGAGGGCAGCCAAGCCGUGAGGUGGUGCAAAUCCCUUAAAGCCAUUCUCAGUUCGGAUUGUAGGCUGAAACUCGCCUACAUGAAGCUGGAGUUACUAGUAAUCGCAGAUCAGAAUGCUGCGGUGAAUGCGUUCCCGGGUCUUGCACACACCGCCCGUCA